UACAGAGGUCCCAAGCGUUGUUCGGAUUCAUUGGGCGUAAAGGGUGCGUAGGCGGCGGGGCAAGUCUGGUGUGAAAUCCCGGGGCUCAACCCCGGAACUGCACUGGAUACUGCCUUGCUAGAGUACUGGAGAGGGAACUGGAAUUUACGGUGUAGCAGUGAAAUGCGUAGAGAUCGUAAGGAAGACCAGUGGCGAAGGCGAGUUCCUGGACAGUAACUGACGCUGAGGCACGAAGGCCAGGGGAGCAAACGGG
rnacentral:rRNA from 1 species